rnacentral:rRNA from 1 species
AUUGAACGCUGGCGGCAUGCCUUACACAUGCAAGUCGAACGGUAACAGGUUAAGCUGACGAGUGGCGAACGGGUGAGUAAUGUAUCGGAACGUGCCCAGUCGUGGGGGAUAACUGCUCGAAAGAGCAGCUAAUACCGCAUACGACCUGAGGGUGAAAGCGGGGGAUCGCAAGACCUCGCGCGAUUGGAGCGGCCGAUAUCAGAUUAGGUAGUUGGUGGGGUAAAAGCCCACCAAGCCGACGAUCUGUAGCUGGUCUGAGAGGACGACCAGCCACACUGGGACUGAGACACGGCCCAGACUCCUACGGGAGGCAGCAGUGGGGAAUUUUGGACAAUGGGCGCAAGCCUGAUCCAGCCAUGCCGCGUGCGGGAAGAAGGCCUUCGGGUUGUAAACCGCUUUUGUCAGGGAAGAAAAGGUUCUGGUUAAUACCUGGGACUCAUGACGGUACCUGAAGAAUAAGCACCGGCUAACUACGUGCCAGCCGCCGCCGUAA